rnacentral:rRNA from 1 species
AGCGGUGGAUGAUGUGGAUUAAUUCGAUGCAACGCGAAGAACCUUACCAAGGCUUGACAUAUACGAGAACGCUGCAGAAAUGUAGAACUCUUUGGACACUCGUAAACAGGUGGUGCAUGGUUGUCGUCAGCUCGUGUCGUGAGAUGUUGGGUUAAGUCCCGUAACGAGCGCAACCCCUAUCCCUAGUUGCUAGCAGUUCGGCUGAGAACUCUAGGGAGACUGCCGGUGACAAACCGGAGGAAGGUGGGGACGACGUCAAGUCAUCAUGGCCCUUACGGCCUGGGCUACACACGUGCUACAAUGGAACGCACAGAGGGCAGCAAACCCGCGAGGGGGAGCGAAUCCCACAAAACGUUUCGUAGUCCGGAUCGGAGUCUGCAACUCGACUCCGUGAAGUCGGAAUCGCUAGUAAUCGCGAAUCAGCAUGUCGCGGUGAAUACGUUCCCGGGCCUUGUACACACCGCCCGUCAAGCCAUGGAAUCUGGGGGUACCUGAAGUCCGUCACCGUAAGGAGCGGCCUAGGGUAAAACUGGUAACUAGGGCUAAGUCGUAACAAGGUAGCCGUACCGGAAGGUGCGGCUGGAACACCUCCUU